rnacentral:tRNA from 1 species
GCCCCGUUAGCUCAGCCUGGUAGAGCACCUGCCUUUUAAGCAGUGUGUCGCAGGUUCAAAUCCUGCACGGGGCA